GGCUACUGCUAUUGGGAUUCGACUAAGCCAUGCGAGUCAAGGUGUCUUCGGACGCCGGCGUACGGCUCAGUAACACGUAGGUAACCUACCCUCAGGACUGAGAUAACCCCGGGAAACUGGGGCUAAUAUUAGAUAGAUAAAAGGUACUGGAAUGUUCUUUUAUCCAAAGCUUUUGCGCCUGAGGAUGGGCCUGCGUCCGAUUAGGUUGUUGGUGGGGUAAUGGCCCACCAAGCCUGCGAUCGGUACGGGCAGUGAGAGCUGAAGCCCGGAGUUGGGGACUGAGACAAGGCCCCAGGCCCUACGGGGCGCAGCAGGCGCGAAACCUCUGCAAUGCGGGAAACCGUGACAGGGGGAUCCCAAGUGCUCAUGCAUUGCAUGGGCUGUUCUUUGGUCUAAGUAACCAGAGGAGUAAGGGCUGGGCAAGACCGGUGC
rnacentral:rRNA from 1 species